rnacentral:lncRNA from 1 species
UGGGAAGCAUUGUUACUCAAAUUGCUUGUGGAAGGCAGCAUACUUCUGCAUUUGUUCCUUCUUCAGGACGAAUUUACUCCUUCGGUCUCGGUGGUAAUGGGCAGUUGGGAACUGGUUCAACAAGCAACAGAAAAAGCCCUUUCACUGUAAAAGGAAACUGGUUUUCUUAUAAUGGACAAUGUCCACAAGAUAUUGGUUCUGAAGACUAUUUCUGUGUCAAAAGAAUUUUCUCAGGUGGAGAUCAAAGCUUUUCACAUUACUCUAGUCCUCAGAGCUGUGGACCUCCAGAUGACUUUAGACGCUCUGACCCUUCAAAGCAGAUCUGGACAGUGAAUGAAGCUCUGAUUCAGAAAUGGCUCAGCUACCCCUCUGGAAGGUUCCCUGUGGAGAUAGCCAAGUAUGGGAAACAGUCUGCUCAUACACAGUCUUGGGAAGAGUUUUCAUUUAAAUAUUUCAUUGACUGUCAUUUUCUUGGUGGUUUGUAUAUAAACAUUUAAGUACAUAG